AUACACUAUACCUACACACACGUCUAUCCAAACAGCUUGAAAAAUAGAUUUUUCACUAUAGGUGCCCUUUAAGAGUAUUACAUUCACAUGCAGCAGAUCUGUGUUCAUAAUUCUUCAUAGUUUCUUUUGUAGAUGCUUGAUAACUUUCAUUUCUAAACUUCUUGCCUACGACUCCCUGGAGCUGCAAAACCGAACCCUGACCUGAACCCUAAUAAGCAUGUCUUACAAUUUAAGGAUAAUACAUUCACAUGCAGCAGAUCUGUGUUCAUAAUGCUUCAUACUUCUAUUUGUAGAUGCUUGAUGACUUUCAUUUUGAAACAAAUUGCUUACGACUUCCUGAAGCUGCAAAAACAAACCCCGACCUGAACCUUUAUAAGCAUCUUACACAAUUUAAGGGUAUUACAUUCACAUGCAGCAGAUCUGUGUUCAUAAUCCUUCAUACUUUGUUUUGUAGAUGCUUGAUGACUUUAAUUUCAAAACCUCUUGCUUAAGACUUUCUGGAGCCACAAAACCGAACCCCAACUUGAACCCUAAUAAGCAUCUCUUACAAGUUAAGGGUAUUACAUUCACACAAGAUCUGUGUUCAUAAUUCUUCAUACUUCUUUUGGUAGAUGCUUGAUAACUUUAAUUUCGAAACAACUUGCUGACUACUUCCUGGAGACACAAAACCGAACCCUGACCCAAACCCUAUUAAGCAUCUCUUAUAAUUUAAGGGUAUUAAAUUUACAAGCAGCAGAUCUGUGUGCAUAAUUCUUCAUACUUUGAUUUGUAGAUGCUGGAUUUCUGUCAUUAUUGAAACACAAAUUGCUUUUCACUUCCUAGAGCAGGGAUCACUACUCUCUGUCCUGGAGGGCCGGUGUCCGUGCAGGGUUAAGCUCCAACUUGCCUCCACACACCUGCCUGGAUGUUUCAAGUAUACCUGGUAAGACCUUGAUUAGCUUGUUCAGGUGUGUUUGAUUAGAGUUGGAGCUAAAAUCUGCAGGACACCUGACCUCUAGGAACAAGUUUGUUGACCCCUGUCAUAGAGCCUCAAAAACUCAACCCAGACCUGAACCCUAAUAAGCAUCCCUAACAUUUAAAGCAUAUUACAUUCACAAGCAGCAGAUCUGUGUUCAUAAUUCUUCAUGCUUCGAUUUGUAGAUGCUUGAUUUCUUUCAUUUGGGUAUUUCAACAUGACAAACUCAGUCCUGCACAGUUUAGCUCCAACUCUAAUCAAACACACCUGCUUAUAGAUUUCUAGUGAUCGUAAAGACACUGAUGUCUUGGCAUGUUCAGGUGUGUUUGAUUUGUGUUGCAGCUAAACUACGCAGGACAGAGUUUGCCCACCCCUGUGUUAUGUAGUGGAAAAUUAGGGGUAAUUAUAUAAUGUUUUGCUUUUUUUUUCUCUCCAUUAAAAUAUCUAGCUUGAAGUGUUUAUACCUUGUUCCUCCACAGCUUAUGGUGUCUUUUGUUGAAUGUUUGAAUCGUCAUUAUUAGUAGUAAAUCAGCUCCAGAUGUGUGUAUAUGGUAUGUGGCAAUCACACACAGACAGGAAAUUGAUACUUACAACUGCGUAUUAGUUUAGCAGGAUAUAUUAUGAAACAUAUCUAUACUGCGCACUACAUAUACAAACUCUCAAUCUACUAUUACGGUGCCAAUCACAAGUGUCUAGAUUUGUCUGUCGACUUGUGGCACAUUAAGUCACUCAUCCAAACUAAUGACGUUUGGGUUUGGUUUCUUUCAUUGAAAAGUCACAAGUUAAUAACUACAUUUAGCCAUCAUUAAAGCAUCAAAAAUCAAGACAGGGGGUCCCAAGGAAUAUAAACAAUCACUGGCCACUGCUGUAAUCAUUCAUAGCAUAGAUUCAACAAGGUACUGGAAAUAUUCCUCAGAGAUUUUGCUCCAUAUUGACAUGAUAGCGUCACACAGUUGCAGCUGGUUUGUCAGCUGCACAUCCAUGAUGCGAAUCUCCCAGACAAUUAGUGUUGGUGAGGGUCACCAAAGAUAAUGGGGUUAGUGAGGGUCACCAAAAGACACAGAGGGUUGGUGAGGGUCAGCAAAUGAAAUGAGGGUGGGUGAUAAUCGCCAAAAAUAUUGGGCUUGGUGAAGGUGUCCAAAGGCAAUGGGGGUUGCUGAGGGUCACCAAAAGACAUUGAGGUUGGUGAGGUUCAUUAAAGACUAUAGGUUGGUUAGAGUCACCUAAAAACUAUGGGGUUGAUCAGGGUCACCAAAAUACAAUGGGGUUGGUGAGGAUCAACAAAACAUAAGGGGGUUGGUAAGGGUCACCAAAAAUAUUGAGGUUGGUGAGGGUCACCAGAGACAAUGAGGGUUGGUGAGGGUCACCAGAAGACAAUGAGGCUUGUGUGGGUCACCAGAGACAAUGAGGUUGGUGAGGGUCACCAGAAGACAAUGAGGUUGGUGAGGGUCACCAGAAGACAAUGAGGCUUGUGUGGGUCACCAGAGACAAUGAGGUUGGUGAGGGUCACCAGAAGACAAUGAGGCUGGUGUGGGUCACCAGAGACAAUGAGGUUGGUGAGGGUCACCAGAAGACAAUGAGGUUUGUGUGGGUCACCAGAGACAAUGAGUUUGGUGAGGGUCACCAAAAGACAAUGAGGCUUGUGUGGGUCACCAGAGACAAUGAGGUUGGUGAGGGUCACCAGAAGACAAUGAGGCUGGUGUGGGUCACCUGAGGACAAUGAGGUUGGUGAGGGUCACCAGAAGACAAUGAGGCUGGUGUGGGUCACCAGAGACAAUGAGGUUGGUGAGGGUCACCAGAAGACAAUGAGGUUGGUAAGGAUUUCUGAAUGACACUAGUGCAGUGGGUGUCUCUGGAAAACUUUGAGUGCUGCUGUGGAUCACUGGAAUGUUCUGGACAUGUGGUACAACUGCAUAUUUAAUUACGAAGACAUAGACAAGGCAGAUGCUGCUUUAGGUCUGACUGAAUUAAAACCUAUUAUCUUUAA